AUUGAACGCUGGCGGCAUGCCUUACACAUGCAAGUCGAACGGUAACAGGUCUUCGGAUGCUGACGAGUGGCGAACGGGUGAGUAAUGCAUCGGAACGUGCCCAGUAGUGGGGGAUAGCCCGGCGAAAGCCGGAUUAAUACCGCAUACGACCUGAGGGUGAAAGGGGGGAUCGCAAGACCUCUCGCUAUUGGAGCGGCCGAUGUCAGAUUAGCUAGUUGGUGGGGUAAAGGCCUACCAAGGCAACGAUCUGUAGUUGGUCUGAGAGGACGACCAGCCACACUGGGACUGAGACACGGCCCAGACUCCUACGGGAGGCAGCAGUGGGGAAUUUUGGACAAUGGGCGCAAGCCUGAUCCAGCAAUGCCGCGUGCAGGAAGAGGGCCUUCGGGUUGUAAACUGCUUUUGUCAGGGAAGAAAUCUUCUGGGUUAAUACCUCGGGAGGAUGACGGUACCUGAAGAAUAAGCACCGGCUAACUACGUGCCAGCAGCCGCCGUAAUAC
rnacentral:rRNA from 1 species